rnacentral:miRNA from 1 species
CACGUGCCCUGCUUCUCCAUC